rnacentral:lncRNA from 1 species
AUCCUAAUGCUCAAGGUGAUCUAGGAUUUGACUGUCAACCCUAAAAUAGUCAACCAUAUUGUAUUUCAAUCUUUCAAAUUUAUCACAUGGAUUAUCCUGACCAAGAUUUUACUAAAUUAAAAUACACUAAUGCAUAACUCCUACUUAUUCAGAGGGGUUAAUUCUAUCUUGUCUCAGUUACCAACUUGAUAAGUACUUGAUUGCAUCCAGUAACCUUCCAUCACUGAAUUAGAAAUUUAGAUAGUUUGACACUAAAGUAUAGUGAGUUGCUUACAAGUCACUGUGGUGA